rnacentral:rRNA from 1 species
UGCCAAUGGCACUGCCCGGUAGCUAAAUGCGGAAGAGAUAAGUGCUGAAAGCAUCUAAGCACGAAACUUGCCCCGAGAUGAGUUCUCCCUGACUCCUUGAGAGUCCUGAAGGAACGUUGAAGACGACGACGUUGAUAGGCCGGGUGUGUAAGCGCAGCGAUGCGUUGAGCUAACCGGUACUAAUGAACCGUGAGGCUUAACCUUACAACGCCGAAGCUGUU